rnacentral:rRNA from 1 species
UACGUAGGUGGCGAGCGUUGUCCGGAUUUACUGGGCGUAAAGGGAGCGUAGGCGGACUUUUAAGUGAGAUGUGAAAUACUCGGGCUCAACUUGAGUGCUGCAUUUCAAACUGGAAGUCUAGAGUGCAGGAGAGGAGAAUGGAAUUCCUAGUGUAGCGGUGAAAUGCGUAGAGAUUAGGAAGAACACCAGUGGCGAAGGCGAUUCUCUGGACUGUAACUGACGCUGAGGCACGAAAGUGUGGGGAGCAAAUAGG